UCCAUAUGUGUUAUUUCAUAGUUUUGAUGUCUUCACUAUUAUUCUACAAUGUAGAAAAUUGUUAAAAUAAAGAAAAACCAUGAAAAAAAAAAAACAUGAGUAGGUGUGUCCAAACUUUUGACUGGUACUGUAUAUUUUGGUACAGCUGAUGAAUAGACAAAAUAUAACUGAAUUGUAUUUGUUUGGAGAAGUACAUUUUUCCUGUUUUGCUUAAAUACACAGGGUUCAGUAUGAUAUGGUCUGUUUGCUGAAAUAUACAGGGCUGUCAUUGAAAAUAGGAAUUUGUGCUUAACUGACUUGCUUAGUUAAAUAAAGGUCAAAUAAAAUAGAGAGAGAACGCUAUAGCCAAUAUAGUUUCAGCGCUCACUCUGCCAGUAUGGUGUCAGCUCUCACUCAGCCAGUAUGGUGUCAGCUCACACUCAGCCAGUAUGGUGUCAGCUCUCAUUCAGCCAGUAUGGUGUCUGCUCACGUAAGGAUAUUGAAAUAUUAAGACGGGUACUGGAUUUUUCUAGUAAGCACUCCUGAAUUAUUGAGGAUUAUUUUUCCAAUUCCCUUAACAGACCUUUAUUAAAGACAGAGAAAGAGGUAGAAACAUUUUUUUUAUAUAUUUUAGCUGUGGUGCUAAAUUAUGAAUGAAUUUCUAUGUGUGUGCGCCUGGCAUGCUGAGCGUGUGUGCAUUGGGUUCUGGGGCUUUAAGGUGUAGGAUGAUGAUCCACGGGGAGAGAAAGAGAGUCCAGUACACACCUGAUCCAGUACACUAGUGUUAGGGCAGCGGUUGUAGAGGGAGGCAGCAGGAGGACAGAGAGUGGCUUUGUAGGUCAGUAGGGGGGAAGAUGUUGAGGUAUUAUAGUCCGUUAAACGGGGGACAGAGAAGGUGAGGACUUACACGUUAAACGGGAGACAGAGAAGGUGAGGACUUACACAUUAAACGGGAGACAGAGAAGGUGAGGACUUACACAUUAAACGGGGGACAGAGAAGGUGAGGACUUACACGUUAAACGGGGGACAGAGAAGGUGAGGACUUACACAUUAAACGGGGGACAGAGAAGGUGAGGACUUACACAUUAAACGGGAGACAGAGAAGGUGAGGACUUACACAUUAAACGGGAGACAGAGAAGGUGAGGACUUACACAUUAAACGGGGGACAGAGAAGGUGAGGACUUACACAUUAAACGGGAGACAGAGAAGGUGAGGACUUACACAUUAAACGGGAGACAGAGAAGGUGAGGACUUACACGUUAAACGGGGGACAGAGAAGGUGAGGACUUACACAUUAAACGGGGGACAGAGAAGGUGAGGACUUACACGUUAAACGGGGGACAGAGAAGGUGAGGACUUACACAUUAAACGGGGGACAGAGAAGGUGAGGACUUACACGUUAAACGGGGGACAGAGAAGGUGAGGACUUACACAUUAAACGGGGGACAGAGAAGGUGAGGA